UCGAAAUGAGCUCAUUCCCGCACCCGCCGACGCUUUUGUCCCUCUCUUCUUCUCCUCCAAUGCCCAGGAUGAUCCAUGAUGCUUUUCCGCUCCGAUCUCCGGUGGAUCUCCGGCGACAAAGGCGGCGUCGUCGCUCCGGUCCUCCAUCCCCUUCUCUUGGAGAGUUUAUGGAUUUCAGGAUUGAGAACAAGAUCGAGCUUCUUGUUGAAGUGG